rnacentral:rRNA from 1 species
UCCAGACUCCUACGGGAGGCAGCAGUGGGGGAUAUUGCACAAUGGGGGGAACCCUAAUGCAGCGACGCCGCGUGGGUGAAGGAGCGUUUCGGCGCGUAAAGCCCUCUCGGCAGGGAAGAAGGAGGACGGUACCUGACUAAGAAGCCCCGGCUAACUACGUGCCAGCAGCCGCGGUAAUACGUAGGGGGCAAGCGUUAUCCGGAUUUACUGGGUGUAAAGGGGGCGCAGACGGCAGCGCAAGCCAGGAGUGAAAGCCCGGGGCCCAACCCCGGGACUGCUCUUGGAACUGCGCGGCUGGAGUGCAGGAGGGGCAGGCGGAAUUCCUGGUGUAGCGGUGAAAUGCGUAGAUAUCAGGAGGAACACCGGUGGCGAAGGCGGCCUGCUGGACUGCGACUGACGCUGAGGCUCGAAAGCGUGGGGAGCAAACAGGAUUAGAUACCCGCGUA